UACUUUAACGGUCUUUUUGUACAUCACU
rnacentral:sRNA from 1 species